UACGAAGGGAGCUAGCGUUACUCGGAAUCACUGGGCGUAAAGCGCAUGUAGGCGGUAUUAUAAGUCAGGGGUGAAAUCCCAAGGCUCAACCUUGGAAUUGCCUUUGAAACUGUAAUACUUGAUCAAGACAGAGGAUAGUGGAAUUUCCAGUGUAGAGGUGAAAUUCGUAGAUAUUGGAAAGAACACCAGUGGCGAAGGCGGCUAUCUGGGUCUUUGAUGACGCUGAGAUGCGAAAGCGUGGGGAGCAAACAGGAU
rnacentral:rRNA from 1 species